UUUAUGGAGAGUUUGAUCCUGGCUCAGGAUGAACGCUGGCGGCGUGCCUAAUACAUGCAAGUCGAGCGAACGGACGAGAAGCUUGCUUCUC
rnacentral:rRNA from 1 species